GACGAACGCUGGCGGCGUGCCUAAUACAUGCAAGUAGAACGCACAGUUUAUACCGUAGCUUGCUACACCAUAGACUGUGAGUUGCGAACGGGUGAGUAACGCGUAGGUAACCUGCCUGGUAGCGGGGGAUAACUAUUGGAAACGAUAGCUAAUACCGCAUAAUAUUAAUUAUUGCAUGAUAAUUAAUUGAAAGGUGCAAUUGCACCACUACCAGAUGGACCUGCGUUGUAUUAGCUAGUAGGUGAGGUAACGGCUCACCUAGGCGACGAUACAUGGCCGACCUGAGAGGGUGAUCGGCCAAACUGGGAAUGAGACACGGCCCAGACCCCUACGGGAGGCAGCAGUAGGGAAUCUUCGGCAAUGGACGAAAGUCUGACCGAGCAACGCCGCGUGAGUGAAGAAGGUUUUCGGAUCGUAAAGCUCUGUUGUAAGAGAAGAACGGGUGUGAGAGUGGAAAGUUCACACUGUGACGGUAUCUUACCAGAAAGGGACGGCUAACUACGUG
rnacentral:rRNA from 1 species